GAAUUCGCCCUUAGAGUUUGAUCCUGGCUCAGGACGAACGCUGGCGGCGCGCCUAACACAUGCAAGUCGAACGGAGCUUAAAGAGCUUGCUUUUUAAGCUUAGUGGCGAACGGGUGAGUAACGCGUGAGUAACCUGCCCUGGAGUGGGGGACAACAGUUGGAAACGACUGCUAAUACCGCAUAAGCCCACGGGUCGGCAUCGACCAGAGGGAAAAGGAGCAAUCCGCCUUGAGAUGGCCUCGCGUCCGAUUAGCUAGUUGGUGAGGUAACGGCCCACCAAGGCGACGAUCGGUAGCCGGACUGAGAGGUUGAACGGCCACAUUGGGACUGAGACACGGCCCAGACUCCUACGGGAGGCAGCAGUGGGGAAUAUUGCACAAUGGGGGAAACCCUGAUGCAGCGACGCCGCGUGGAGGAAGAAGGUCUUCGGAUUGUAAACUCCUGUUGUUGAGGAAGAUAAUGACGGUACUCAACAAGGAAGUGACGGCUAACUACGUGCCAGCAGCCGCGGUAAAACGUAGGUCACAAGCGUUGUCCGGAAUUACUGGGUGUAAAGGGAGCGCAGGCGGGAAGACAAGUUGGAAGUGAAAUCCAUGGGCUCAACCCAUGAACUGCUUUCAAAACUGUUUUUCUUGAGUAGUGCAGAGGUAGGCGGAAUUCCCGGUGUAGCGGUGGAAUGCGUAGAUAUCGGGAGGAACACCAGUGGCGAAGGCGGCCUACUGGGCACCAACUGACGCUGAGGCUCGAAAGUGUGGGUAGCAAACAGGAUUAGAUACCCUGGUAGUCCACACCGUAAACGAUGAUUACUAGGUGUUGGAGGAUUGACCCCUUCAGUGCCGCAGUUAACACAAUAAGUAAUCCACCUGGGGAGUACGACCGCAAGGUUGAAACUCAAAGGAAUUGACGGGGGCCCGCACAAGCAGUGGAGUAUGUGGUUUAAUUCGACGCAACGCGAAGAACCUUACCAAGUCUUGACAUCCCUUGACGAUGCUGGAAACAGUAUUUCUCUUCGGAGCAAGGAGACAGGUGGUGCAUGGUUGUCGUCAGCUCGUGUCGUGAGAUGUUGGGUUAAGUCCCGCAACGAGCGCAACCCUUAUGGUCAGUUACUACGCAAGAGGACUCUGGCCAGACUGCCGUUGACAAAACGGAGGAAGGUGGGGAUGACGUCAAAUCAUCAUGCCCUUUAUGACUUGGGCUACACACGUACUACAAUGGCGUUAAACAAAGAGAAGCAAGACCGCGAGGUGGAGCAAAACUCAGAAACAACGUCCCAGUUCGGACUGCAGGCUGCAACUCGCCUGCACGAAGUCGGAAUUGCUAGUAAUCGUGGAUCAGCAUGCCACGGUGAAUACGUUCCCGGGCCUUGCACACACCGCCCGUCA
rnacentral:rRNA from 1 species